UACGAAGGGUGCAAACGUUGCUCGGAAUUAUUGGGCGUAAAGCGCACGUAGGCGGCUUAGCAAGUCGGGAUGUGAAAUCCCUCGGCUCAACCAAGGAAGUGCAUCCGAAACUGCUGAGCUUGAGUACGAAAGAGGAUCGCGGAAUUCCCGGUGUAGAGGUGAAAUGCGCAGAUAUCGGGAGGAACACCAGUGGCGAAGGCGGCACUCUGGGCCAGUAUUGACGCUGAGGAGCGAAAGCGUGGGGAGCGAACAGG
rnacentral:rRNA from 1 species